UGUGAACCAAACGUGUCCUUGGAAGCUGCGGGGCAAUGUUAGGGUUUGAAACAUGAAAUUUUCAGAAGAAAAACGGAACACCGCGAACCCGGGGCGGGAGAACUAACAUGUCAUUGCAAGACCAUUUCAGCAAGUGGGGAUAAACAAUUUAGGCGCCUAUAGUUCUGGCCCUGGCCACAAAUUCCACAAACCCACGUCGUCGUCGUAGCGUCAGCGUCAAUGACAGCUAAUUAGUGGAGGCUUUCCAUUGGCAUCAGGCAAUGCACAUGAUCAUAGACCAUCUUAGAAGUAGUAGGCACACAAAGCGGCCGUGACCAAGACCACCAUCUCCAGCAGAGAAAAAAACAAGCG
rnacentral:lncRNA from 1 species